rnacentral:rRNA from 1 species
AUGGGCUCUUCCAUGGUUCUGCUCGACCGCGAGAUUGAUUUCACCCCCCAAGACGAGGCGCUAUCCGGCGGACAGUUCCGGUGGGGGAUCUGGGAAGGAAGGAUGCCAACCCGCAAAGCGAUGAGGGAGGAUGUCAUCAGGUACCUGCGGACCUUCAAGGCCCGCGCAGUCGUCGACAAUCCGCCGGAGCUCUCCUUCCUCCACAUACUGGUGCCGCCGCAAUCCCAACCGCUCCCGCCGCCAUGCAUGGACCUGGACUCGGCCCGCAUCUCCAGCACGGACAAGAACCUGGUCGCCCUUUAUGCCGGAGGGUACCGCCCUGGCUCCGGUUUGCUGGGAGGCUAUCUCAUCUACGACGCCAGCAAGGACUCCCUCUCCGUCAUCCCCCCUCUUCCCUCGGACGACUUGCGUGGAGUCAUGGGGCACCAGUCGGCCGUCAUCAUGUGCGACCCCCAUGGGGAGGGGGAGGGCUACCUUCUUGCCGAGCUCAUCAAGAAAGGAUCCUCCCAGGUUGGGGUCUGGCUGUGGAAGUCGUCCGCCCCAGAACCCAAAUGGGUCUCGUUACCCGGGAGCCAUCCCCUUCCUUCCGGCAGAUUCACCGUUGACUCGUGCUUCUCUUACCGGGGUUCUACCCUUUGCUGGGUGGAUCUGCUCAAAGGCAUGUUCCUCUGUGAUCUCAACCAAGACCGCGACAACAAGUUCAGCUUUAUCAAGCUGCCACGAGACUGUCCAGCCCUGGAUUGGAACUUAGAGGAGUCCAACUUUAUCACGUACAGCUUUAUCAACAAGUUCUGCACCCGCCCAGAGGAGUUCCGUUCCAUGGCCUGUGUUUGUGACCACAUCAAGCUUGUCUCCUUGGAUGAAUCUGGAUUGGAACUCUCGGUCUGGACUCUGUUGACUGAUCACUCAGACUGGAUCAAAACCUCCAAGUACAAUGUUGAUAAAAUCUGGGCAAACGUCAACUAUCAGUCUACUGUUUUGAGACAGCUUAUUCCGUCUCUUCCUGUCCUGAGCAUCCAUCAAGACGGGCUUGUCUACUUGGUCGUGAAUGAUGAAAGCAUCGUGGACUGUCGACUAGAGCAUAAAGGCCAGUAUUUGCUUCGUGUUGACAUGAAGAAUAACGAGGUCCAGAUCUCUCCACAGCCUACAAGGCGUAUUUGUUACCAACUCUUUGCCAGCGAGUUCAGUGCGUACCGACAGCAUUUACAGGAUCGACCGAGAGAGAUAGAAGCAAGAGAGUUCAGUGCGAGUGGAAAGACGUUGAAGAUUUGA